UACAGAGGUCUCGAGCGUUAGGCGGAAUCACUGGGCUUAAAGCGUGUGUAGGUGGAUGCCUAAGUACCUUGUGAAAUCCCACAGCUUAACUGUGGAACUGCUUGGUAUACUGGGUGUCUUGAGUCACUCAGGGGCGAGCGGAACAAAUGGUGGAGCGGUGAAAUGCGUAGAUAUCAUUUGGAACGCCAAUGGUGAAAACAGCUCGCUGGGGGUGCACUGACACUGAGACACGAAAGCCAGGGGAGCGAACGGG
rnacentral:rRNA from 1 species